GCAUGGUGAACACAGAGCAGCCAACAUUAGUAGUACGGCUCCCCACCACUGUGGGUAUGUGCCCCAUCCGAGACCCCAUACCGGUGAUGAGGCAGACAACAGUGACGGGCAUAUAAACCGGGACUGUCCGGAUUGCCAUUACUGGUUGUUGCAUCGGCCGCCACUUUGAGCACACCUUAUAUAGUGAGCACUGAUGAAUGGGUGCCACUUCAUAAGCAUUGAUAGUGAGCACUGAGUGUCGGGUGCCACUGUAUGUUAUAUGAUACUAUAUUAUUUGAGUCAUCCACAUGUAUAAAUUGUA